AGCGCCGAAUCGAUCGGCCUAUGGUUGCUUCGAAAUGUGGCGUAUAGGUGUAGUCUUCCAGCAGUGUCGUGAGUCCGAAGUCCUUACGAUUGAGGCCAUAGACCAGAGAGGGUGCGAGUCCCGUCCUGGAUUGCGAUGCUGUUGGUUCGAUUGCUCCUUGGAGUCGGGUUGCUUGAAAGUGCAGCCUAAAGUGGGUGAUAAACUUCAUCUAAGGCUAAAUAUUGACUCGAUUGCGAUAGCGAACAAGUACCGUGAGGGAAAGUUGCAAAGGACUUUGAAGAGAGAGUUCAAGAGAACGUGAAAUCGCUGGAGUGGAACCGGAGACAGUUGAUGUUGCUUGGAGACAAGUUUGGUGGCUGGUCGCUUAGUUGUGAUCGUCGCCGGAUGUCGUUUCCUAUGCUACGCCGACGGCGUUGGUCGCUCGUUCUGGCCCGACAGUGUUGCCCAGCUCGCAAGAGUCGGUGUCUUGUUGUCGGUCGUUGGUUCGUGGUGGCUAGCGUUUAGUUACGCUAGUGUGUGUGACGUCGGUGUGAAAGUCGACGACGUUUCCGACCCGUCUUGAAACACGGAUUGCGGAGUGCUUGUCUACUGCGAGUCAAAGGGUGUUAAAACCUUGCGGCGAAAUGAAAGUGAAGGUCAGUCUUGAAUUGGCCGACGUGGGAUCGGUGCUCCUCGGAGUGCUGCGCACCACGGCCCUGUGCGUGUCACUUGUGACUGUGCAGAGGUUGAGCAGUUGGCAAACGACCCGAAAGAUGGUGAACUAUGCCUGAGCAGGAUGAAGCCAGAGGAAACUCUGGUGGAAGUCCGUAUCGGUUCUGACGUGCAAAUCGAUCGAUAGACUUGGGUAUAGGGGCGAAAGACUAAUCGAACCAUCUAGUAGCUGGUUCCUUCCGAAGUUUCCCUCAGGAUAGCUGGAUCUCCGGCAGUUAUAUUCGGUAAAGCUAAUGAUUAGAGGCCUUGGGGACGUAAUGUCCUCAACCUAUUCUCAAACUUUCAAUGGAUAUGAAGUUGCAGUUUCUUUAGUGAACUGUCAACGUGAAUGCGAGGUCCAAGUGGGCCAUUUUUGGUAAGCAGAACUGGCGCUGUGGGAUGAACCAAACGUGGAGUUAAGGUGCCUAACUUCUCGCUCAUGAGACCCCAUAAAAGGUGUUGGUUGAUAUUGACAGCAGGACGGUGGCCAUGGAAGUCGGUAUCCGCUAAGGAGUGUGUAACAACUCACCUGCCGAAUCAACUAGCCCUGAAAAUGGAUGGCGCUUAAGCGAGAGACCUAUACUCCGCCGUUGCGGCAUGUGCGUUGUCUAGCGCCAGGCCGUAACGAGUAGGAAGGUCGUGGCGGUUGCUUUGAAGGCUAUGAGCGUGGGCUCGGCUGGAGCUUCCGUCAGUGCAGAUCGUAAUGGUAGUAGCAAAUAUUCAAGUUCGAUCCUUGAAGACUGAAGUGGAGAAGGGUUCCACGUGAACAGUAGUUGGAUGUGGGUCAGUCGAUCCUAAGGUACUGGCGAACGCCUUGUAUCAUCGGUGGCGAAAAGCUUGCUUUUGGUCCCCGUUUGUCGAAAGGGAAUAGGGUUAAUAUUCCCUAACUGAGAUGCAAAGAUUGUGUUCUUCGGAGCACAAGCGCGGUAACGCAUUCGAACUUGGUUAGUCGCUCAAAGACCGAGCUAGAGUUUUCUUCUCUAGUUAAGGAACGGACUCCCUGGAAUUGGUUCAGCCAGAGAUGGGGACGUUGUUUCCGAAAAGCACCGCGGUUUCUGUGGUGUCUCGUGCUCUUUGAACGGCCCUUAAAACACCAAGGGAGGCUAUUAAUUUGCACUCAAUCGUACCGAUAUCCGCAUUAGGUCUCCAAGGUGAACAGCCUCUAGUCGAUAGAAUAAUGUAGGUAAGGGAAGUCGGCAAACUAGAUCCGUAACUUCGGGAAAAGGAUUGGCUCCAGUGGUUGGAACGAUUGGCCAGUUGGUUGAUGCUUGUCCGGCGCUAUUCUGUCUGCUUGAUGCUUUCGGGCUGAUGGCGGACUAGUGAUAGUGCUUGCUUGUGGACGCUUUCUGGUGUGUGCUAGGACCUCGGUUCUAGUAUCCUGAUCGCUCAUCUAAACAACCGUACUGGAACCGGUACGGACUCAGGGAAUCCGACUGUCUAAUUAAAACAGAGGUGACAGAUGGUCCUUGCGGACGCUGACUGUCACUGAUUUCUGCCCAGUGCUCUGAAUGUUAAAUCGUAGUAAUUCGAGUAAGCGCGGGUAAACGGCGGGAGUAACUAUGACUCUCUUAAGGUAGCCAAAUGCCUCGUCAUUUAAUUGUUGACGCGCAUGAAUGGAUUAACGAGAUUCCUACUGUCCCUAACUACUAUCUAGCGAAACCACAGCCAAGGGAACGGGCUUGGCAAAAAUAGCGGGGAAAGAAGACCCUGUUGAGCUUGACUCUAGUUUGACAUUGUGAAGAGUCAUGAGAGGUGUAGCAUAGGUGGGAGACUUCGGUCGCCGGUGAAAUACCACCACUUUCAUCGACUCUUUACUUAUUCGGUUAAAAGAGAAUUGGCUUCACGGCCUUUUUUCGAAGCAUUAAGCGGAGCCAUUUUAUGGCACCGUGACUCUCCUCGAAGACAGUGUCAAGCGGGGAGUUUGACUGGGGCGGUACAUCUAUCAAAUCGUAACGUAGGUGUCCUAAGGCGAGCUCAGAG
rnacentral:rRNA from 1 species